UACUAAUGUGUGUAGCCUUUAGGCCUGAUAUGUCAGCCGCAUGGAUGGCAAUGUGCAAUAACCUAGCCUAGACACACUGAUCUAUCAGUUUUGGACAUCAAAUAAUAUUUUUUCUUUUGUUAAUUUUGUGUCUUAGUAAGGUAGUAGCCUAUACGUUUGUGAUGUAGUAGAGGUUGUGAGAGGAUGAAUGUGGCAUUUUGUUAAAUUUAUGGGCAACACAGUUAAAUGUAGCCUAUAGGCAGUCCAGUUGACCAAUAACAUGGCUGUUUGAAUUUGAAAUGGAGUGGGCGGAUCUGUGCACCUUUCGAGCAAAACGUGGUGUGAGCAAACAUUAACGUUAUUUUAUACAGUCUAUGCUUGUAACUUUAUUUGCAAGGCAGAUGGACUGUAGAGACCAGAAAAUGCAUACGUUUACGGUCCGUAUAAGGUUACAGGUUUGUCCAAAUUAAAGAUACCAUGAAUUCUAGUCAUGCCAGAGACGUUGGUCCUACAGAGCCAGAAGGACUCGUCAUAUGAGAUAACAAGGGCUGAAGCCAGUUGUAUCUAAAGUGCCAAGUUAUUCGUCAUCAGGUGUUCCUGGACAGUUUUGAAACCGAAAUGUCUGAACGCCUCAAAUAAUCAGCAGUAAAGACAACAGAGACAAAUUCUCUAAUACCAAGGUCAAUGCAUUUGACUGCUGUCCAGCCCGGGUUGCCACCGAAAACUUUAUGCAUCUUGGACUGGAAGAUGGUGUGCUAGUAAGGAAGCUAGCUACCACAGCUUUUGCCACCACAUCUCAGUGUUGAGGGAAGUUCACUCACUGCACAACUCUACCAGCUGUACCUUUCCUCCUCAUUUCCUCCGCCAUGAUCCGUAACCACCAUGGUUUUCUUUCUGGGCCAGAAGACUUUGCAAACAAAUAAGCAAUAAAUGAUCAUGCAUUACAAAUUUAGCCAUGUUAGACUGUUAAGUUGUUGGCUUGUAGGCUGGGUGUCCAGUAAACAAUUUCAAGCUUAGAGGGCAAAUUCUCUCACCUAGGAGGGUAAACAACUUUUGUUUUUCAUGAAAUCUGCAUUUUGAAUUGAUGGUCUACCAAUGAGGCUGUAGAGUAUCGCGACACAAUAGUGGCAAAAAGCACUUGCGCUAUAAAACAUGCAUUCGGGUGUAUUGUAUUAUAUAUUAUUUCACACACGUAUAUAUUAAAUGCGUGCGCGCAAAUUCUCUCUGCGCGUGCGCACUCAGAGGAAACUGCUCCCCAAGCAUGGAAGAAAAUGCUGCGAGCAAGGAGGAAUCUGACCAGCGCUCCAAACAGCCACUCGAAAAAUCUAUGCAUGUGAAAUAAAUCAUAAGCCCAAAUGCAUGUUUUAUCGUGUUACCACAUCCAACUUGAAAAGAUAUGCUCAAGAGAUCCAUAACUUUCAGGAAAAUGUUUUACUUUUUUU